GGCUCAAUGUCCUGGGGUAGCUCAAUCAUUAGAGCAUGAGACUCUUAAUCUCAGGGUUGUGGGGUCAAGCCCCAUGUUGGUCA